ensembl:lncRNA
AGAAGCUGUCCUGCUGCUGGAUUUUCCACACUUCAGCCCAUGCACUUUCCAUCUUCUUUUUCCCCUCUAUACAAGUGGAUUUCUCAUCCCUGCUCCAAGACUAAAGUGAUCCUCUGAGCCAGAGCCAUGUGCAAGAUCAGAAUGAAAGCUGAAGCCAGGAAACCUUCCUUGGGUUCAGGUUUCACGACAAGCCUGAAACUUGUUCCUGAGGGAGGUUUCCAUAUCUUUGGGGGUGGGGGAAGGCUUUCUGGAUUUUGAGUUGUUACAGGAUGCCCCAAAUAAGGGGGAAAAAAAGUUAACAAGCAGAAGAAAACACAGUUUUAAUAGAGAUGUUUGAUAUUUUUUGACUGGAAAAAAUUCCCUUUGAAAAACACAGCUGUUGGAAAUAAUUGUUGUCGCCCCCCCCCCCCCACAAUGUAGGGGAUUUUUUUUAACUAGCAUUUUGCAUUUUUUUAUAUACUUCUCAACGGAAACUCUUCUGCAGUAGAUAACUUUCUUUAAUCUCAGUUUUCAAGAAGAAAAGGCUCUCUCAGAAUCCCAGUUCAAAGAGAGCUCUACGAGCUGAAACAAAAUUUUUCAUUCUGCCUUGAAACAUCCAGCCAGAAGAAGUGUUUCAGAGAAGUACUUCCAUUCAGAAGUUCUGAACAGGAAAGAAAAUGGUUCCUGGCUAGCUCUGCUGACCUAGACACAGCUCUGUCCUCCUCUGUGUGGGCUCCUAGCCAUGGGGCUUUGAGGGGCAAGUUCCUGGGCAUGGCCCCUACCCAGGACAUCACCUCAAGCUCUCAUCAGUGCUCUCCCCAUUUCUGUAACAGAAUGCUGCCUGAAGAACAGCUGGAAAGCUCCAGGUCUCUCUGCAAGGCACAGAUAAUGAACUGCACUGCUGCAGAUGCCAGACGGGACAGUGGUGCAAGGUGUGGAAGUGUAACUGGACCACGAACUCUACGUUCUUAUUUUGGAGCUAGUGGAAUAGGACAGACCUACCAGUCCUGAGCUUCAAGCUGCUGGAAUCAAUACCUUGCUUGAAAGAUUUAACACUUAUUUCUACCAAGCCUGGAAUUGUCAGCUGAGAUUUUCUCUACAGGAUAUUGUAAGUAGCUCUUAAAAUUCUUUAAUCUGGUCUGAGUGUAGAGUCCAGAGGAUGCGGUGCCCCACUUCUAAACUACUUCUGUGUUGGUGGUGAAGUUGCACACAUUUUAUCUGAGCUGUAUCUCUGCCUCCUGGAUAGAAAGCACAGUGCAAAUAUAUGUCAUUACAAUCAAAUGCAACAAGUAAAGAAACAAAAAACCCACAAGAUCUGCAAACAUGCUUUGACUACACUCAAGAGGUAGAGCAUUUACAGAAUUGUAAAUAAACAACUUCAUGAAGCCAUACGUUAGGAAAUUACUGAAAUGUAGGUUACUGGCCUCACAGAGAGUUACAACCCAUGUGGAAUGAGCGCUCUGCCAUAACCAGUUACACAUUACGGAUGUUUUUACUAUAACAUGUAUUUACAGGCUUCAUGAUCUGUCUUGUAAAUACAGAUUAAGGAAAUGUGAGAAUUCAACUUUCAGUGCUGAGCCUUCAGUAUUUGUCAGCUCUACCUCAGACAAGUAGAGACAGCCUCUACAGGGCGCAGAGUUUUAUAGCUGCCGCUAUAGGAAAUACUUAGGAAGUACAGGAAAUACUUACAGAAGCAGCAAACUUAAAGGAACAAACUAUCUUAAUAGUUAGAAAUGAACCUGCACACAAGAUGUCAUAUUGUC